GCAUCAAUGGGGUAGUGGUAACCUGGGUCGUUGCCAUUUAUCUCGACCCGCCGGGGGUUCGAUUCCCCCUUGAUGCA